UCUAGAAACUUUGGAUUUGUGCAUCAUUAAGGAUUUAAAACUAAACUAACACAUGGUCUCCCUCGUUUCUCUUUUCCCUCUUUCUCCCUCUUAUCAGCUGGUUUGCCUCAACCUGCCCUGAUUCAAGAUCCUUCUGUUCCACCAUGGCUUUCUGUUUUUGGGUCCUUAGAAUUACAAAAUCUGACAGCUUGAGGUUUACUUAAAUUACAUACAAAGAAUAAAGCUCCAUCUAAAUGAGAAAA